rnacentral:pre_miRNA from 13 species
UUUCUGUUUCUUGCAGUCAGUAACAAAGAUUCAUCCUUGUGUCCUGUAAGCAACAGGGAGGGUCUUUGUCACUGAGUGCAAUUAAUGGUGGCCG